ACUGUUGCUUUCACCUAACUGGGCUCUUAGGCUCAGCACUCUGGAAUCCAGUCUCACUUUGGAAUCCUGACUUAUCUCUGUGUCUCUGAGGCACCUGUCUUGUGUGAUAAUAGAAUGAGUGGGGUACAGGUCCUCUUAACAACUGACUUGUUCCAGAACCUCAGAACUGAAGUUUGCCAAAAGCUAUGAUGCCAGGCAGACAUUGGCAAUACUCUUUUCCUGUCCCUUGUAAUGAAUAAGAAGCCUUCUGCAGUCUGUGGUGCUAAGGCAUAAGCCUGGUUUUUGCCUUCCACCUGAUCCAAAGCAAUUCUAGAUUCUUCAAGAAUGUUUUUUAGGCACAGGCAUUGGAACUGCAGGUGUACUUGUAUCUCUUCAACUAUGCCUGUGCUUCGAGCCACAGUUGUGGCAUUGUAAUUUCAUGCCAUUUCUGCUUCACCGAAAUGCUUCUCUUAUUUCACUCUUCACCUUUGUAUUCUAUUUCUAUUAAUGGUGUAUGUUUGUAGUGGAGUGCUACAAAAAAUGAACUCUACAUAUAAUCAUGGCCCAAACUGGAAUACCUUUUAUUACUAUCCUCUAGCUCAUAAAGGGAAAUCCCAUGCCAUGAAAUUCAAGCUGCAGCUAAGUAAGGGUGCUUCUCAGCCAUUUGGUNNNNNNNNNNNNNNNNNNNNNNNNNNNNNNNNNNNNNNNNNNNNNNNNNNUCUGACAAACUCCAGGCCCAUCCAUUUUCCUGCAAAUGUUAAGGCUCUAUUCUUUUUAUGGCAGAAUAAAAUUCCCAUAUGUGUAUAUACCAUAUUUUUAAAAUCCAUUCUUCUGUAAAUGGAACUUUAGGUUGAUUCUAUAUCUUAGCUAUUGUAAAGAGUAUAGCAAUAAAUAUGGCUGAGCAAGUAUCUCUAUGUUAGGAUAUGGAGUCCUUUGGGUACAUGACCAGGAGUUGUAUAACUAGUUGUGUGUGUGUGUGUGUGUGUGUGUGUGUGUGUGUGUGUACCCUUCAAACUGAGCUUCAUUGUGAAUAUACUACUUUGCAUUGCCACCAGCAGUGUAUAAAGGUUCCUUUCACUCCUGUAUUCACACCAGCAUCUGUUGUUGUAUCUAAUAGGACUUUAGAAACAUUCUUUUUUUUUUCCCUCAUUGGACAAUGUCUGGUUGAAAUGAGUUAGCCACCUACAGGCUUUCAAAGCAGAGCCUCCCAGUUCAUCCUGCCAAAAGGAUAUACUCAUUUGAUAGAUGGCUUCCUGUUUGUACACAGAAGAAACACUGAAGUAAGCCUGGGACAGGAUAAAGCCAAUGUGUCAGAGACAGGAAAUUUUACUUCUGAGUAUUCAGGGAGAAAGGAGCAUUGCUCAAUGCACUAGGAAUUCUACAAAAAUGGUUACCCCCCCUGAGAUUGCACAGCCUAGGAACCACGCUGGCCCACAAUUAGUGCAAUUUUGAAACUGCACCGCUACACCACUAAACAAUUACACUUUCCUUUUAAGGCUGUUAACCUUUCUGUCUGGUUGUUUUAAACACAGUUAUCUACACUGUAUAUUUGCCUAAAAGCAGUCUUUAUGGCAAAAUCAAAAGCUGGGUCAUUCCAUACUCAUUUAAAUUAAGGGAACCUAGAGAAAGGUUGCAACAUUCAUAUAUGAUGUCCUGUAAAUGUUGUUAUUUGGACUCUAGAGCAUUUGUCUCUGUAUAUUUGUAACUUUGAAUCUGCAUCUGAUUAUAAAGUAGAUAGUUUUAUUUAAAAAGCAUGGUCCAGCUAUCCCAUUUAACCCUAAAAAGAAAUACACUAAAGGAGUUAAUUCCAAAGUGGAUAAAUUGAUAUUUGGCCAGUAAGAUGAGGGCAUGAGAGGUAAACUGCGCGCACCUCAGCUCUGUGCCCCACUGUGCUCUGCUGACCAGGUGCAAAGAGAAAUAUGAGGAUCUGAGGGUGCUUUGGUUUUUAUUGCCAAAGGCAGCUGUGAUGAACAUUCCAGACCCUGGGGCAGAAGUUAGACAGAGCUGCCAGAAGGAACAAUGAAAGGGAUUCUAAUAGUUUAGUUUGUAUAUAAAACUGAGCCAAGGAGAACUGAGUAAGCACAGACGGUAUUACUGUAAUACAUCUAAUAUGUUUACAUAUACUUUUUACUCU
ensembl:processed_transcript